rnacentral:rRNA from 1 species
GACGAACGCUGGCGGCGUGCUUAACACAUGCAAGUCGAACGGAAAGGCCCUGCUUUUGUGGGGUGCUCGAGUGGCGAACGGGUGAGUAACACGUGAGUAACCUGCCCCUGACUUUGGGAUAACUUCAGGAAACUGGGGCUACUACCGGAUAGGAGCUCCUGCUGCAUGGUGGGGGUUGGAAAGUUUCUGCGGUUGGGGAUGGACUCGCGGCUUAUCAGCUUGUUGGUGGGGUAGUGGCUUACCAAGGCUUUGACGGGUAGCCGGCCUGAGAGGGUGACCGGGCACAUUGGGACUGAGAGACGGCCCAGACUCCUACGGGAGGCAGCAGUGGGGAAUAUUGCACAAUGGGCGGAAGCCUGAUGCAGAAACGCCGCGUGCGUGAUGACGGCCUUCGGGUUGUAAACCGCUUUCGCCUGUGACGAAGCGUGAGUGACGGUAAUGGGUAAAGAAGCACCGGCUAACUACGUG